AUAAAAGUAAACUUACACAAUAAAGAAAGAAUGGCAAAAUAAAUAAUGUAGUUAUUAGUAUUUAUUUUAUAUUAACAGCUGAUUUUCCAGAGGGAGGCAAAAAAACAAAAAGACAUUUAGACCAAUCGAGAAAGCUCUUAGAAAAUACACAAAAUAAUUCAUGUGUACUCAUUAACUAUUUACAUUAAAAUGUACUUUGAAGUUCACUGAAGAAAGGUGUUGUACUACCUGUAAACAAUAGUGAGUUAGGGCAAAAUAUACAAUUUACAAUCAAGCGUACAUUCAUCAGACAUAGUAAACUUUGUACAUACAAUUCAGGGAUGGCCAUAAUUGCUAUUGAAGAGGUACAGGGUUAUGCAGGCUUUCUUGUUCAAGCCCAAAGCUACCUCACCUGAUUCUACUAUUCAAGGUAUCCAUGAAAAGCUUAGGUCUUGAUGAACAGCUGAGGUCUUGAUGAACAGCUGAGGUCUUGAUGAACAGCUGAGGUCUUGAUGAACAGCUGAGGCCUUUAUGAACAGCUGAGGUCUUUAUGAACAGCUGAGGUUUUUAUGAACAACUGAGGUCUUGAUAAACAGCUGAGGUCUUGAUGAACAGCUGAGGUCUUGAUGAACAGCUGAGGUCUUGAUAAACAGCUGAGGUCUUGAUGAACAGCUGAGGUCUUGAUAAACAGCUGAGUAGUAGAAUCAGGUGUGGUACAGUAGCACUGGGCUUGAACAAAAAAACCUGCAUAGCCCUGUGACUCGUAAAGAUUCAUUUAUGUAACUCCUGAUACUGUGACAAAUGACAAACUGCUGAGAAACAAAAUACAAAGUCA
rnacentral:lncRNA from 1 species